rnacentral:rRNA from 1 species
GACGAACGCUGGCGGCGUGCUUAACACAUGCAAGUGGAGCGACGAACCAGGGCUUGCCCUGGGGCAGAGCCGCGAACGGGUGAGUAACACGUGGGGGACCUACCCCGAUGACCGGGACAACCCGAGGAAACUCGGGCUAAUACCGGAUGUGCUCUCCUCACAUCAGUGAGAUGAGUAAAGGAAGCUUCGGCCUCCGCAUCGGGAGGGCCCCGCGGCCCAUUAGCUUGUUGGUGGGGUAAUGGCCUACCAAGGCUGCGAUGGGUAGCUGGUCUGAGAGGACGAUCAGCCACACUGGGACUGAGACACGGCCCAGACUCCUACGGGAGGCAGCAGUGGGGAAUCUUGCGCAAUGCGCGAAAGCGUGACGCAGCAACACCGCGUGGGGGAAGACGGCCUUCGGGUUGUAAACCCCUUUCAGGAGGGACGAAGGCCGGCCGGUGAAUAGCCGUGCCGGUUGACGGUACCUCCACAGGAAGCCCCGGCUAACUACGUGCCAGCCGCCGCCGUAA